rnacentral:rRNA from 1 species
UACGGAGGGGGCUAGCGUUGUUCGGAAUCACUGGGCGUAAAGGGUGCGUAGGCGGGUUUUUAAGUCAGAGGUGAAAUCCUGGAGCUCAACUCCAGAACUGCCUUUGAUACUGAAAGUCUUGAGUAUGGGAGAGGUGAGUGGAACUGCGAGUGUAGAGGUGAAAUUCGUAGAUAUUCGCAAGAACACCAGUGGCGAAGGCGGCUCACUGGCCCAUUACUGACGCUGAGGCACGAAAGCGUGGGGAGCAAACAGG